UGGGGAAUUUUGGACAAUGGGCGAAAGCCUGAUCCAGCAAUGCCGCGUGUGUGAAGAAGGCCUUCGGGUUGUAAAGCACUUUUGUCCGGAAAGAAAUCCUUGGCUCUAAUACAGUCGGGGGAUGACGGUACCGGAAGAAUAAGCACCGGCUAACUACGUGCCAGCAGCCGCGGUAAUACGUAGGGUGCAAGCGUUAAUCGGAAUUACUGGGCGUAAAGCGUGCGCAGGCGGUUUGCUAAGACCGAUGUGAAAUCCCCGGGCUCAACCUGGGAACUGCAUUGGUGACUGGCAGGCUAGAGUAUGGCAGAGGGGGGUAGAAUUCCACGUGUAGCAGUGAAAUGCGUAGAGAUGUGGAGGAAUACCGAUGGCGAAGGCAGCCCCCUGGGCCAAUACUGACGCUCAUGCACGAAAGCGUGGGGAGCAAGCAGGAUUAGAUACCCUGGUAGUCCACGCCCUAAAACGAUGUCAACUAGUUGUUGGGGAUUCAUUUCCUUAGUAACGUAGCUAACGCGUGAAGUUGACCGCCUGGGGAGUACGGUCACAAGAUUAAAACUCAAAGGAAUUGACGGGGUCAUAGCUGUUUCCU
rnacentral:rRNA from 1 species